CUGUCCAUCAAGAACCCAGCAAUGAGCAAACAAUAGACUGCAAGCUUUCUCAUGGAACAAUAAUGGGCACCAACAAGGUUUAAAAGGUCCAGUUAGAUAAUGGCAUAGCUCGACUGGGUCCUGUUGGCCAUCCCGACACCGGUGGCCACCAUAGAUAAGAUACCAGGCCAGCCACGGCAGAGACAGUGCUGCCCCUUGCCGAUCCACCGGUAGACCGGUGCCAAAUGGGAGCCACC
rnacentral:lncRNA from 1 species